CAGGCGAGGUAUAGGAGUAGACUGGACAUCUGAUGCAGUGUUGUAAGGUUUGAAGAAUUUCUGUCUCAGCGCUGUCGAUGGUGGAGUGCAAGACUGCUACGCAUAUGCCCUAUCUCAUGAUCCGUACUUACGUAAAAUCGACGCUUUGGAUUAUGAUCCGGCUAGCUAUAAACUAUUCAGUUUAACACUAAUUAUUAAUAAUUUGGUUUCAGAUAUCAACACUCCACUAUACCCACAAUUCAUAAGCUAUCUUCAGAUAUAAACAGACAUAUGCAUGAAGGAAAAUCAGGAGGUGCUGCUUUACUAGACAUGGAAAAAGCUUUUGAUUCUAUAUGGUUGAACGGUCUGUUAUAUAAAUUAAACGAAAAACAAUUCUGAUCAAAGACAUGAUAUACAAAAUGCAUAACAAAACAUUUAAAACGUGGGAUGGUACCAAUACAACAAAUCUCACAUUUAACACCACUGAUGGCUUACAAUGACUUAUAUCAAUGACUUAUUAAAUUUACAUAAUAUCAAUAAUAAUAAUAACAUAGAAUUACUUGCAUAUGCAAACGAUAUAAUUGUAUACACAGCUGAUAAAUAUCCAAACAGUAUACAAAAUCAAUUACAAACAAUAGUUGAAAAAAUUAGUCAUUGGCUGAUAAAUUAGAAUGUAAAACUAAACCCAAAUAAAUGUGAAACAAUACUUUUGAGGAAAACA